AGCAGAUGUGGGCUCUGUAGAUAAGGACUGGCAGGAAAGUUGUUUACUGAAACUAAAACAGGGAGGCACAAAGGAUAAGGAAGUUAGUUUGGCUUUGGAAGUAGGGAACAAAGAACAAGGACACUGAACAAGCUAAAUCUUUGAAGAGGAACUUCUUUUGUAUCUGACAAAGGUCUUCAAGGAAGAAGGGAGAGAGUGACCUUUCUAGGUUUUAUGGUUGAUGCUGGUGGAGAGGAGUUCUAGUUUCUAAGAUUUACCUUGAGGAAGAAGAACUGUAGUUUCUGUGGCUUGCAGACAAGCAAAGCAAAGCUGAUAAGCAUCAUUAGCAUCCAUUUUAAAUUUAAGCAAACUGAACUCCAAGAGGUUAAGAAACUUGCUCCAAGUGACACAGCUGAGACAUGGUUUCACCAUGUGGCCCAGGCUGGUCUCAAACUCCUGACCUCAAGUGAUCCACUCGCCUUGGCCUCCCAAUGUGCUGGGAUCACAGGCAUCAGCCACCGUACCUGGCCAACAAUGAUGAUGGUGGUGAUGCCAGUCUUGAGCAGCUGCUGCAAAGAUGCCAGCUGAAGUAGGGGAGGUGAGGCCAGGGCUGAGCGCUCUGUGGAGCCAGCAGGGGCUGG
rnacentral:lncRNA from 1 species